GCGGGUAUGGCGGAAUGGUAGACGCUGCAGACUUAAAAUCUGUUGACUUUAUGUCGUGCUGGUUCAAGUCCAGUUAUCCGCACCA
rnacentral:tRNA from 1 species